AAGUGCGAUCAUACCAGCACUAAUGCACCGGAUCCCAUCAGAACUCCGCAGCUAAGCGUGCUUGGGCGAGAGUAGUACUAGGAUGGGUGACCUCUUGGGAUGUCCUCGUGUUGCACCUC
rfam:Vigna angularis cultivar Jingnong 6 scaffold268_34, whole genome shotgun sequence.